GUAUUGAUUGCGUGUGACCGCAAAAACAAAACAUUCUAGACUGUAUCGAAUUUUGUGUGAAAACGUGAGCCCUCCUGCAAAGGGGGACCCACGCGGUGGUGCACAGGGUGAGAUGGAUUGUUUGAAAAUGCUCGGGCGUGCACGACCAAAAGUCAGCGACAGCCCUUGCACCUCAGUUUUACAAUAAUGAUCCUUCCGCAGGUUCACCUACGGAAA
rnacentral:misc_RNA from 1 species